rnacentral:lncRNA from 1 species
AUCCUGAAGCCCGGCUCCCGGAAGACUACAAGGAUCGGAAUAAUGGGGAACUUGGGUGCGGACGACGCCGGGGAAGGAGUGACCAGAGAAGCGCGGCGGGCGAGCGAGGAGGAGCGGCGCGACCGGGAUCUGUCAAAAAAAAAAAAAAAAAAAAAAAAAAAAAAAAAAAAACCAGCGGCAGGCAGGCUCACGCCGAGCCACUGCACCCGGGCUCCGCCAAGGCCCCAAGUGGGAGCGGCACUGCCGGAGGGAGGAGGACCCGGAGCCCCGCGAGCCCCGGCCGCCGCUUCCGCGCAGCCCCGGGCGCGCACCGCCCACCGCGAGCCCCGGCCCUCUGCGCCGGUCCAACCUUUGCCCCCAAAAUCUGCUGCCUGAGCGGCCGCCGCCGGACCUGUCCGCACCUGUCACCAGCCGGCGACACCAGCCCACCGCUCCCGCCCAGCUCUCCGCCAGCCUCGGGCCCCCGCGGGCCCCGCGACCCCGUUCCCUACCAGGUGUCCCCUUUCCGGAGCGAGGUUUUGAGCAGCGUCGCGAUGUCAGAACGCUGGGUGUCCAGGUCCGCCGCUCCGCCUUCCGCCAUCUUCUUCCACUAGCCGUAGCGGAGGCGGCGGCGACGGCGGCGGCACGCCCCGGAGCAUUGUGGGAAUGGCGUCCCCGGCCCCGCCCCGCCGGCAGGUCUGUACCAAAUGGGGCGCGAGGGCGGGGGUCUGGGGGCGUGGCUCGGCGGGGAGCGCGGCGGGUGCGCGCCUGCGCCCUGCUGCCCCCUCGGGUCCCCGCACGCCCCGCAGCACGGCGUGGUCGCCGCCGCCGCCCCAGACCUCUGAGUUUGCACGGUUCUCACCGGGUGCCGCGCUUUCUCUCCCUGCCUUUGCCCUGCCCUGCUCGGACUCUCCUUGCCAUGCUGGCCCUUUUCUUGCCGCAGCCGCCUCCAAACCCAUGUUUUUGCGGGUUCACUCCUACUGGAGGGCGGGGCCGGCUGGGACAUGGCAGAAAGCGCGCAGUUCCGUGACUUGGGGCUUUUCCUUUCCAGCCGCAGAGCCCAAGCCCACUGAAUAUUGGCACAAAGAGGGCUCUGAAACCAAAGGUUUGGGCGCAGUGCCCUUCCUAGGUUCUUCCCAGCUCUCCCAUGCUUGCUGUCUGUAGGGACUUCUACCUUUCAUAAGCUCUUUGUGACGCCUCCUAGCGCGCGUGGACACACACACACACACACACACACACACACACACACACACACACGUUAGCUGCAGUGCAAAACAUGUCCCAGUUUCUAGGUGAACAAGCAGUUAAAGAUGUAUUGAAUAAGGCCAGGUACUGAAGGGGGUUAGAAACGUGGGAGAAACCUCAUGGGCGUCAAAUUAGCAUUCCCCUAGAUUAAAUUUCAUGGUUGUAUAUGCCUAAAGUUAGACUCGAUAAUACAAGCUGCAUUUGAAGGCAACAAUUACAAACGGGGAAAUUGAGCCUCUUAAAAAUCAAAUGCCAAGGUCACACGGCAACUGGAAGUGCAAGGUUAUCGCACAGAUUUCAAAUCCCCAGUACUCAGUACCUCCAUGAAAGGCUGAAUUAAGAUACAAACUCCGUAAAAGCUGCAACUAAGUUCUCUUUAUAAUUUGGCGUGUGAGUGUGCGUGUGUGUGCGUGUGUGUGCGUGUGUGUGUGUGUGUGUGUGUGUGUGUGUGUGUGUGUGCACUGCGGUUUAAUGGUCUAGUACCAUUCUACACCAUUUGAGGCAAACGUUUCAAAAUUAACUAAGGCAAAACUGCUGUUUCUAAGAAUGAAGACGGCUACCUCAGUAGAACAGUAGGUGACAAGUUAAAGGAUGGGCAAUGGUCUCUCCAUUUUUUAAGCCUCCUAGUUUUGGUGGGAAACUCAGUAAGGAAGGGGGUGCCUGCAUUAGUGAGGACUGCUGGCCCAUCCAAGAGAAAGCAGUGUUUCCCUGGUUAGGGUUUGUCAGCUUGACAGAAACUAAAGUCACUUGGAAAGAGGGGAACCUUAAUUAUGGGAUUGCCUCCCUUAGAGUAGCCUGUGAUGAGUCAGUGGAGCAUUUUCUUGUUUAACGAUCGGUGUGGUAAACCCACUGUGGGCAGGUGGUCCUGAGUUGUGUAAGAAAACAAGCUGAGCAAGCCAUAAAAAGCAGUGUCCGUCCACGUACUCUGCUCUGGGUUCCUGUUGAGCUCUGGCUGUGACCUUCCCCUAGCGUAAGCCACCCAGACCCUUUCUUUCCUAAGUUGCCUUUGGUCAGAAUGCUUUGUUGCAGCAAUAGAAAACAACUAGCACAACCGGUGUGUAUUGGCGUCAUACUUGAGUGAGUCAGUAUGUGACUGCUUGUUUCUGCGCAGUACUCUCUUUGUAUUACUUCAGCCUCAAUGAGUCUAAAAGUCAUUUCCAUUUACGGCUAUUUCUUAUGUUAUUUGACCACUCCUGAUUAUAAAACCGAGUUUUCCUAACUAUGGACAUUCUCAGUUGUUAUAUAUCCACACCCCCCAUCCCCAUCUUCUACCACUCUGUGAAGGAAAGCAAAGUAAGUUUUCAAAGAGAGACAACUUGGUAUGCAAAGAAUAUGCUGUAUCCUCAUACAUACAUGGCUUCGGAUCUCUAGCUGCCAACACUUAAUCUGUAGUCUAUUUACAAAUUUAAAUAGUAUAAUAUUUAUCUUAAAGGAUUUUAAAAGCAUGCAGUGCAUUUAUUUUCUAGAUGAGUUGAGUGUGUGCCUGUGACAGCCUACUGUGGAGAUCACAAGUCAACGUUGCAGGCGUCAGCUCUCUCUACUAUGAGGGUCUCAGGGGAUCAGACUUGGGUAAGUCACAAUUAUGCCUGCUGAGCCAAAUUGCCAACCUAGCCUUUUAACAGUUUUUGAACUUUACUUUAUCUUAUUUUUCAGAAAGGAUCCCAUGCGUCCCAGGUUGUCAGUGCAACAGAAGAUGACUUUGAACUUAUCUGAUCUGUCUGCUUCCGCCUCCCCAGUUCUGGGAUGUUUCUGCAGCACUGGGCAUCAAGCCCAGGGUUUCGUGCUUGCUAUGUAAGCACUCUUCUGCCUGAGUCCUAUCUCUAGACCCCAUUAAGGAUUUUUUUUUCUAAAAAAAAAAAAAUGAAGAUUAAAUGAAACAAUAUGAGUUUGUUGCCUGGAACUUAAUAGCCAAUCAACAAAUGUUAGUAGGAAGAAUUGGACUGAUAUCAGGAUAAAUUGUAUAGUAUGUGUGUUAUAUCUCAAUAAAGCUAUUCUUAACAAAGC